UACAGAGGGCGCGAGCGUUGUCCGGAAUCACUGGGCGUAAAGGGCGCGUAGGUGGCCACUAUAAGGCCGCGGUGAAAGUUCGGGGCUCAACCCUGAAUCUGCCGCGGCGACUGUAGGGCUUGGGCACCGUAGAGGCAGAUGGAAUUCCGGGUGUAGCGGUGGAAUGCGUAGAGAUCAGGAGGAAUACCGGUGGCGAAAGCGACUCUCUGGACGGCAACUGACGCUGAGGCACGAAAGCGUGGGGAGCAAACAGG
rnacentral:rRNA from 1 species